rnacentral:rRNA from 1 species
GAUGAACGCUGGCGGCGUGCCUAAUACAUGCAAGUCGAGCGAACAGACGAGGAGCUUGCUCCUCUGACGUUAGCGGCGGACGGGUGAGUAACACGUGGAUAACCUACCUAUAAGACUGGGAUAACUUCGGGAAACCGGAGCUAAUACCGGAUAAUAUAUUGAACCGCAUGGUUCAAUAGUGAAAGACGGUUUUGCUGUCACUUAUAGAUGGAUCCGCGCCGCAUUAGCUAGUUGGUAAGGUAACGGCUUACCAAGGCAACGAUGCGUAGCCGACCUGAGAGGGUGAUCGGCCACAGUGGAACUAGAACAGGGUCCAGCUCCCUACGGGAGGCAGCAGUAGGAAAUCUUCCGCAAUGGGCGAAAGCCUGACGGAGCAACGCCGCGUGAGUGUUGAAGGUCUUCGGUUCGUAAAACUCUGUUAUUAGGGAAGAACAAAUGUGUAAGUACCGAUGCGCGUCUGAACGUUACCUAAGAAGAAGGCCCCGCUAAACUACGU